rnacentral:rRNA from 1 species
UACAGAGGUCUCAAGCGUUGUUCGGAUUCAUUGGGCGUAAAGGGUGCGUAGGUGGCGCCGUAAGUCAGGUGUGAAAUUUCGGAGCUUAACUCCGAAACUGCAUUUGAUACUGCGGUGCUUGAGGACUGGAGAGGAGACUGGAAUUUACGGUGUAGCAGUGAAAUGCGUAGAGAUCGUAAGGAAGACCAGUGGCGAAGGCAGCAAACUGGUCAUCAACUGACGCUGAGGCGCGAAAGCGUGGGUAGCAAACAGG